rnacentral:lncRNA from 1 species
UAAUAGCCAAUCAAAUUGUCAAGUCAGAUUAGUUAAAAAAGGAAUAUAUUAAAUUUAAAAAAAAUAACUGAAAAAAUGUCGUCUGCAAAACUCUUACCCCUAAAUCAUAAACUAUAAAUUCUAAAUCAUAAAUCCUAAAUCUUAAAACCUAAACUGUAAACCAUAAUAAAUCCUAAACAUUAAAACCCUUGAUUCUAAACCCUAACUCUAAACCAUAAACCUGGAUCAUAAACUCUAAGCCCUAGAUCAUAAAUUGUAAACCCUAAACCCGAGAUUGUAAACCCUAAAUCCUACACUUUAAAUUCUAAUCCCUAAACCCAAAACUCUAAUCUAUAAACCCUAGAUCCUAAACCCUAAACCCUAAAUUUUAAUCCGUAAACCCAAAACUCUAAAUCAUAAACCCUAAAAUCUUAAAAUUUAAAAUCUAGGGUUUCACAAUUAGGAUUUAGGGUUUAGGAUAUAGAGUUUAGAAUUUAGAGUUUUGGGUUUAGGGUUUAGGGUUUAGAAUUUAGGGUUUAGGAUCUAAGGUUUAGGGUUUAGGGUUUAGGAUCUCGGGUUUAGGGUUUUGAGUCUAUGAUCUAGGGUUUGGGGUUUAGAAUCCAGGUUUAGGGUUUAGAGUUUAGGGUUUAGAAUCAAGGGUUUAGUGUUUAGGGUUUAUGAUUAAGAUUUAUGGUUUAGAGUUUAGAUUUUAAGAUUUAGGGUCUAGAAUUUAGAAUUUAUGGUUUAGGGGUUAGAGUUUUGUAGACGGCAUUAACG